AGAUGCGUGUUUACGGUUAGGAAUUAUUUUCGCCCUUAAAUUUUCUCUUUCUGUAUUCAGCAGUCUCAGACUUUUUCGGUGGCAUUCCUGCAUAUUAUGUAUUCGUUCUAACGUGCAAAUAUGUGGUGGGAAAAAAAUGCGCCGUUUUGUUUUCCUACUCUGUCAUAGCAUACAAUGAUGCAUCCAAUACGAUCGACACCAAAGAUCCUGACUUCCAACUUCCUGGAUCCUGUCUAAACAAAGAAGGUUGAACUAACGAAGCAACAGUAAUGCGCGUGACCAUGCAAAAGACGGUGACGGCUGAAUACAUCCGGAGUUACUCGCGUGGGCACCGAAUUGAUAAACGCAGCCAAAGGUGGAAUUCCGCCUGGCACACUAAAGAAAUUAAGUUUGAAACCAGGAAACCAGCCACAGGAGGUGAUCGAGUAGAAAUGGAGCUUCUAACGUCACCGCUGGAAGCUUUGCCAGAAGAAGAAAGAAACAGAAAUAUAAGAAAUACUAGGCAUAUGCAAAAGCACGGGAACGGCGAAUAGUGUGCGCAUGACGCAAGAACGGCCAAACCAGGCGUCCAUUCCUCUAGGGAACCUCGCACAAGCUCGACUUCAGGGCAGGGUUGGCUU